rnacentral:tRNA from 1 species
AUCGGAUGUGGUGCGCUGGGCGCACGGUGGCCUCCAAAACCACUUGAUAAGUUCCACGGGGUUCGAUUCCUCCAUCCGGUGC